rnacentral:sRNA from 1 species
UCUUUCCCGAGUUUACAAACUCCCAAACCCUUUGUGAACCUUACCUAUCGUUGCUUCGGCGGGAUCGCCCCGGCGCCUUCGGGCCCGGAACCAGGCGCCCGCCGGAGGCCCCAAACUCUUAUGUCUUUAGUGGUUUUCUCCUCUGAGUGACACAUAAACAAAUAAAUAAAAACUUUCAACAACGGAUCUCUUGGUUCUGGCAUCGAUGAAGAACGCAGCGAAAUGCGAUAAGUAAUGUGAAUUGCAGAAUUCAGUGAAUCAUCGAAUCUUUGAACGCACAUUGCGCCCGCCAGUAUUCUGGCGGGCAUGCCUGUUCGAGCGUCAUUUCAACCCUCAGGCCCCCAGUGCCUGGCGUUGGGGAUCGGCGUGGGCGGCGACGGCUCUCCGGAGCCCGAGCCAAUGCCUGCCGGCCCCGAAAUUCAGUGGCGGUCUCGCUGUAGUCCCCCUCUGCGUAGUAGCACAACUCGCAUUGGAGCUCGGCGGUGGCCAUGCCGUAAAACACCCCACUUCUGAAAGUUGACCUCGGAUCAGGUAGGAAUACCCGCUGAACUUAAGCAUAUCAAUAA